CGCGUUUGGAGCGGCCGAUGGCAGAUUAGGUAGUUGGUGGGGUAAAGGCUUACCAAGCCUGCGAUCUGUAGCUGGUCUGAGAGGACGACCAGCCACACUGGGACUGAGACACGGCCCAGACUCCUACGGGAGGCAGCAGUGGGGAAUUUUGGACAAUGGGCGAAAGCCUGAUCCAGCCAUUCCGCGUGCAGGAUGAAGGCCCUCGGGUUGUAAACUGCUUUUGUACAGAACGAAAAAGCUCUAGUUAAUACCUGGAGUCCAUGACGGUACUGUAAGAAUAAGCACCGGCUAACUACGUGCCAGCAGCCGCGGUAAUACGUAGGGUGCAAGCGUUAAUCGGAAUUACUGGGCGUAAAGCGUGCGCAGGCGGUGAUGUAAGACAGUUGUGAAAUCCCCGGGCUCAACCUGGGAACUGCAUCUGUGACUGCAUCGCUGGAGUGCGGCAGAGGGGGAUGGAAUUCCGCGUGUAGCAGUGAAAUGCGUAGAUAUGCGGAGGAACACCGAUGGC
rnacentral:rRNA from 1 species